CGCCACUGCCUGCCAAUCAAGCUCGAACCCGCUCUUGGCCGCGUCCCCUGGCGUCCCCUCCAGUUUCGACUGUUCUAAAAACCCGAGCCCAGCACGCCCCUCCCGCGGCCGGAGAUAAGGAAACCACCAGGGGGAACUGGAAACGGGCCCUUUGGGAAAAAAGAACACCCACAAGGGUUCUUCUCGGGGGGCUGGGCCUGCGCUCCGACACCAGAAGGGUGACAAUUCGAGUUCGGGUUUCAAGCCUCCCGAGCCUCUGGGAUUAUGGCAUGCACUACCAUGCCCAGCAGGACCUCUUAUUGGAUCCUAGAUGGCAUCUCCUGACUUUGUCCUCACAUGGUGGAGAGAGAGUGAAAGCCGCCAUGAGGUGAAUAGGCCUCCUCCACCACGCAUUCUCUGCCAUGACAUACUGUGUCACCACAGACCCUAGGCAAUAGGGCCAAGUGACCAAGGACUGAAACUCUACAACGGUGAGCCAAAAUAAACCUUUCCUCAUCAUAGACUGCUCAUCUCUGGUGUUUUGUCACAGGAUGGAAAGCUGACAAACAUAAGCAUCAUAGAAAAGAGGGGUCUUGCUGAGCGGUAGAAGAUGGGGAGAUGCUCAUUGUAGAAGGAGAUCAUCGUUUUCACGGUAGCAUAGGAGAAAGAAGAGAGAGAAGCUGGGUCAGGCAGGGAGACCAACUUUGCAUCCCUGGCCAUGGAAUAGCAAUGAAGGCAGAGAGAACAGAUACAUUAGAAGGAUCAAACCCAGGGCCUCACACACGCUAGGCAAAUGCUCUGCCACGGAGCUACAGCCCCAGGCCCGGAAACACAGUCUUGAUGCCUGAAUUUGAGGAAUAACAAAUAAUAAAAGAGGCAAGGAAGACUCCCUAGUUGGGAAGGGUUAGCAGUGACCUGGGGUGGUGGUGGCACACAUUGGUACUGUCCUUGGAUGUGGAGAUGGGUGAAUUAAGUUUGGAGGCGACUGGGAGACCCCAACUGAACGUGUAAGGUCCCAAGGCAGGGGAGAGUCUGGGCCGGGAAGGCAUCGAAGAGUCACACUUAAAUGACAACUAGAAAAGGACCCUGUGUAACAGACUCUGAGACUCUCCUUUCUAUUAUGAUCGACCCUUCAUUUCCAUUAUUUCAAACUACUCAUCCCAUGAGGGGACGUUCCCUGUGGUUAAUCACAGCCCGGUAAGGACUGACUGUGCAGUUCAGUCACCUGGGGAGUUUGAAAACAGAGGCUCCUGGAUCCCACACCCGGGAUUCUGCCUCCGUGAGGACAUUCACCAAAUAUUCAGCCCUCCCUUCCCCCACCCAUCCCUCAGCCCCUGGCAGUGGUUGGUGUCCUGUGACAAGUUCUGGCCUAUAGAUAAAUACAUAAAUGGGACAGCAGUCACUUUCUCUCUCUCCUUCCCCUUCCACAGCAGCAGCAAGAGGCCUGGAGACAAGCUGGAUUCCCUGGAGGCCUCAGGCCCAAAGUGGACUUAGCAAGAGGGAGAAAUAAGAAAUUGCUGAGGCUGGCUUGGGACCUACGAUCCUCCUACCUCAGCCUCCUGAGCCCUGGGAUUACAAGUGUCUGCCACCGCACCCAGCCAAGACCAAACCUUCAAGACAUGAAUCUUUAUUUAUUUAUUUUUAUUUUUUAGACAUUUUGUUCAUUUAUUUAUACGUGGUACUGAGAAUCGAACCCAGUGCCUCACACAUGCAAGGCAAGCGUCCACCACUGAGCCCCAGCCCCAGUGAAUAGCCAAGCUGUUCCUGCAGCGUAGCUUAGCUCAUCCUGACCCAGGCAGCCUGCCUUCUGUGGGGCUCGGAAGUCAGCUUUCUCGACCAGCACUACUGGUGAUCCUGGUGCAGGACCACUGACCAUACUUGGUGACCAAUGGCUAGACUGCACUUAUGUGAUAGUACAAGUGUCUGUCACCUUAGAAACUUUCUCAAUGCCCAGGAUGUUAGAUCUGCCAUGAAGGAAGUUUGGCUGGCAGACAGUGCGUCCUUCACACAGAUACAUGAAAGGUACAUGUCAUUGAGGGGAGUGUGAGUCACCAGUAUAGGUAAUAGGUUGGUCAGUUUGUUGAGCAAGGCAUGAUGCUGGGUGCUCCACAUACUUUAUUUGUAUUCUCCACCUUUGCAAGGUAAAUAGGAUUGUCACAAGUUGGAAGUGGAAGAGUGGGAUCUGGACCCAGUUCAGUCUGAUUCCAAACUUGUACUUUAACUUAGAGACUCUCAAUUUCCAAGAUUUACUCCUGUUAAAUAACAGUUAUGGUGGGCAUUGUUUUGGACCAAUCUCUUGCACUGGGUCCUGACAGGCCAAACUAACAGUCAAAAGGGAGAACUCAUGCUAAAGUUCUGUAUCACCUGCAAACCUCCUGAAAUCAGAGAGAGAAUGGCCAAAUGUCCCAAGCAGGCUAGUUUCAAUCUGAGUGACCUCAAAGUUUAAUCUUCUGCUUUAAUU